rnacentral:rRNA from 1 species
GGGUGCAAGCGGAGGCCCUUCGGGCUUCGCGCGCUUGAAUGCGCCGAUGUCGGAUUAGCUAGUUGGCGGGGUAAAGGCCCACCAAGGCGCCGCUCCGUAGCUGGUCUGAGCGGCUGCUCAGCCACACUGGAACUGAGCCACGGUCCAGCCUCCUACGGGUAGGCAGCAGUGGGGAAUAUUGGACAAUGGGCGCAAGCCUGAUCCAGCCAUGCCGCGUGGGUGAAGAAGGCCUUCGGGUUGUAAAGCCCUUUUGUUGGGAAAGAAAAGCAGUCGGUUAAUACCCGAUUGUUCUGACGGUACCCAAAGAAUAAGCACCGGCUAACUUCGUGCCAGCAGCCGCGGUAAUACGAAGGGUGCAAGCGUUACUCGGAAUUACUGGGCGUAAAGCGUGCGUAGGUGGUGGUUUAAGUCUGUUGUGAAAGCCCUGGGCUCAACCUGGGAAUUGCAGUGGAUACUGGGUCACUAGAGUGUGGUAGAGGGUAGCGGAAUUCCCGGUGUAGCAGUGAAAUGCGUAGAGAUCGGGAGGAACAUCCGUGGCGAAGGCGGCUACCUGGACCAACACUGACACUGAGGCACGAAAGCGUGGGGAGCAAACAGGAUUAGAUACCCUGGUAGUCCACGCCCUAAACGAUGCGAACUGGAUGUUGGGUGCAAUUUGGCACGCAGUAUCGAAGCUAACGCGUUAAGUUCGCCGCCUGGGGAGUACGGUCGCAAGACUGAAACUCAAAGGAAUUGACGGGGGCCCGCACAAGCGGUGGAGUAUGUGGUUUAAUUCGAUGCAACGCGAAGAACCUUACCUGGUGACUUGACAUCCACGGAACUUUCCAGAGAUGGAUUGGUGCCUUCGGGAACCGUGAGACAGGUGCUGCAUGGCUGUUCGUCAGCUCGUGUCGUGAGAUGUUGGGUUAAGUCCCGCAACGAGCGCAACCCUUGUCCUUAGUUGCCAGCACGUAAUGGUGGGAACGACUAAGGAGACCGCCGGUGACAAACCGGAGGAAGGUGGGGAUGACGUCAAGGCAGACAUGGCCCUUACGACCAGGGCUCACACACGUACUACAAUGGUAGGGACAGAGGGCUGCACACCCGACGAGGGUAAGCC